GAUGAACGCUGGCGGCGUGCCUAACACAUGCAAGUCGAACGAAGCGCCUUUUAAGAUUCUUCGGAUGAUUGAUCGGUGACUGAGUGGCGGACGGGUGAGUAACGCGUGGGCAACCUGCCCUGUACAGGGGGAUAACAGUUGGAAACGGCUGCUAAUACCGCAUAAGCGCACGAGAGGACAUCCUCUUGUGUGAAAAACUCCGGUGGUACAGGAUGGGCCCGCGUCUGGUUAGCUGGUUGGCAGGGUAACGGCCUAACAAGGCGACGAUCAGUAGCCGGUCUGAGAGGAUGAACGGCCAGAUUGGAACUGAGACACGGUCCAAACUCCUGCGGGAGGCAGCAGUGGGGAAUAUUGCAGAAUGGGGGAAACCCUGAUGCAGCAACGCCGCGUGAGUGAAGAAGUAUUUCGGUAUGUAAAGCUCUAUCAGCAGGGAAGAUAAUGACGGUACCUGACUAAGAAGCUCCGGCUAAAUACGUGCCAGCAGCCGCGGUAA
rnacentral:rRNA from 1 species